AUACAGAUGACGAGUCCCGAAUAGAACGACAUGUACAUCCUGGAU
rfam:Trichobilharzia regenti genome assembly, scaffold: TRE_scaffold0102445